UCUGUGGAAGGUAAUGAAAAGCAAUCUUUCUUGGUGGCCAUAUUAAGUUUUCAAAAAUCCUAAAAAAUUUGGAUUUUCUCGUUCUUUUUUGGCACCAUCACGAUUGGAGAAACCCUCUCACUAUUCAGUACUGGGUAAAUAAAACCAACUGUAAGAAGCUUGUCUAAUUCCUUGUUCACCAUGAAGGAAUAUUUAUGAUUAAGGUGAUGUUGCUUCUAUCAUACCGCUUUAGCAUUCUCCUCUAAAAUGAUACGAUGCUCAUAAACUUCAGUGGAGAUACCUUUUAGAUCAUCAUAAGUCCAAGAAAAAGCUGAUUUAUGAUACAAGAAAAUUUUUGUCUAACAUGUCAACUCCUGUUCUUUAAUACCUUCAUAGACCUUAAUUAUCCGAGGCUUUGCUAGGAUUGCCUAGUUGAUAGUUUGACAUAAAGGUGCAGUGGCAAUGUUUUGUUUCAACUCCCGUGCAGAUUUCAAAUCAGUUGGUAAGUCUGACAUGUAUAAAGUAUUGUAUCCAAGGCACUCACAUGGUGCACAUCAUACUUGGUCAUCCAAUCAAUACUAAUUUUAGCAGUGAUUUUUGAAUCCGAUGAAUAUAUCAAGUACUCUCCCGGACCAUCUUAUUGGUAUACCACUCCAAGAUGUUGGGCUACUUCCACGGAUACCUCCGUAAUUGAUGCUAUUGCAUCAUCAUUGGAGUUAAGCUCAUCGUCUGAUGUCAAUUCAGAUGUUGGCAAUUGAGACUCCCCGUGAUAGUGUAUUGGAUACAUUUGUAACACUAUUUUAUCUUGGUCCUUGCCAAUUAUCAAAGUACCUCGAUCCUAAUCACUUUUGGCCUUUGCUUGAUAAAACCAAGGUCGUCCUAAUAAAAUUAGAUACAAUAAAGCCGAUCAUUGUAAUCGAAAGAUGAUGUAGUUGAUUUCAUAAGCAAUACCAGUAAUUAUAGUUUGAAUACUCCGUAAAAUAUCCAUUGGUUUAAUCCGGCUAUGAUCUGCCAUCCUUAACACCAAUAUUAUGGAUACUAAGUGUUCCAAAUCUAAAGCAUCCAUUGUAUCAACGUUCAUUAAAUUGACAUUGGAACCACCAUCCACGUAAACAUCCGAGAUCAUAACACUGUCAAUCGAAACAUCAAUGGUUGGUGCACUUGGGUCAGGGUUCAAACUGACUUCAUAAACUUCCUUAUUGCAUUGCCUAUGUUAUGUUAACAAUGAAUUCAAUGUAGAACGGUAUUCUAGUAUGAUUGCUAGAAGUUGCUUCAUAGAAAUAGAAGGCCGAAUAGCAUCCAGAUCCUUUAAAAUGUCCUAGGAUUCCAUAUUUAAGGUAAUUCUCAAUGCCCUCUUUCUUUUCAUUGGGUUGAGUUUAACUCCGAGAAGUAAGAUAUUCUUCCAUCCUAGACUUGGAAUUGGAACAGUAGCUAGAGCUUCCUUGGAAUACACGCCUCCAAAAAGAUCUUUCAAUAGAUAAGAUAUUUCUCAAAACUGCAUAGAAAAUGGAAUAGCUUGAAACAGAACCAAAGCCUCCAUAAUUGGGACCUCAUUGGAUUGCCCAACCGAAUCAGGUCUCAUACUGGGUAAGAGGCCUAUAACAGGACCUGGAUUGGAUAUCCCCGUAAUUGGGUCAAAUUGGCCUUUUGCAUCACGCUCACCCAAAUAUUGAAUUCGUCUUUUGUCCUUUUGUUGACUCUUGAUAAGAACGGCUUGGAUACAUUCCACCCGAUUUAUCGGAGAAUCUUGAGGUCCUUGAUUUAUCUCUUCUAUUUUUUCUUGAUUUUAGAUCUGCUGAUCCCAAUUAUUGAAAUUAAACAGAGCGUUACAUUGCUGACAAGUAUGUCCUAACUGUUUAUAAUUCCUACACACUAACACAUAAUCGUCACUAAGUCUAGGAUUGAGACAUUGACUAGCUUAAUGAUCACUCUAUCUGUAACGGAAACAACGAAGUGGUCUUCUUGCACCUCCAUCAAGCAUAAUGGGUAUGUCUACCAUUAUAUACCUACUAGGCUUGUUCCAUGUAGGGUUAGAAAAUGAUCCUAGUUGUUUUGUUGGUACGGAAGGUACUUGGUUUGAUGAUGUUGGUGGAGUAUAUUGUUGAUUCCUCUACUGCUCCUUAUCGUAGGUCUGGAGAUUUGAUACAGACCCUUGAUUAAAAUUGAAACUUUAAAAGUUAUUGAAUGCUCGAUUGGAUUGAUUAGAUCGAUUUCCAUUCCAUCCAUACGUAUUUCCCAUUUGAACUUGAUUGACUUCCCAUUGAGUCGGUGGAAUCAUGGUCUGAUUAUUAAAUUAUUGUUGCAUUUGCCAAUUCCAACAAUUAACUAUUAAGUGCUUUCUUUUGUAAAAUAUAUAUUGGCCAAUCAUUUGUGAGGAUAAAGGGCAUGUUGUUACCAAAUGACCGUGGCCCUUACAAUUAUUGUACAAUAUAUUGGUCCUAGUAUUGAUAGGCUUUUGCCUCUUUUCAUUAUCUUUGGCCAUAUUCACGGCCAUUUCUUCCAUUUUCUUCGUCAGGUUCAAUAAUAAGGUUUCAUUGGAAUCUUUUUGGGCUGGUAUUAAUUGUAACUCUGCUGCUUGUUGUUGAUAUGGAAAAUAUGGAUCAUACACUAUUGUCACGUUUGGUAGUAUAGCUUGCAAUGAAGUGACAUUAACUGGCCCCUGAAUAUUGGCAUUGGAAUUGGCUCCUAUUUCUAACAUCCGUGGAUAACUAUCCAUUGAUCCAUUCCAAGUCGGAUUUUGAUAGCUACCUUGAACUGAAAUCAUCGUGGCAUCCAUAGUUAAAAAUUAAUCAUAAUGGCAUUCCUCCCAAACCUUGGCUCUAUUAAGAGAUGCAGUUACCGUAUUUAGUUGAGCCUCUUUUGCAAACAUUUUUAGUUUGGGUAGAUGCAAUCCGAUGAUUAAUAUGGAUAAUACAAAAGCCUCUGACAUUUGGUGAUUUGGCCACUUAUGGAAUAUAUCUGCUACACGACCAUAGUAUGAUUCCACUGCCUCUCUUGGACUCAUUUUGCUAGUCAUUAAUCUUUUUCAAAGUCGAUCCUCAAAACCAAUUAGGCAAAAAUGGAUUAAAAAUACAUUCUUCAAUGCUUUCCAAUUGAAAAAUUGACCCACUAGUUGAUGAUUGUACCAUUCAAAUGCCAUAUCUUUUGAGAUUGCUAGCAACCACCGUAACCAAAUAUCUUCAGUUCUUCUAUUAUUGGCUAUACAUGCUGUCAUAAACUAAGACAAAUAUUGAUCAAGAUUCACAUCCAAAAAAUCCCUAAAAGUAGGUAAUGGAGCCACGUUUGUUGUGCGAUCACUUACAUCACCCUUUUGUACUGUUAUUGGAACCGCUGGACCACAUAUCACCAUGGAAGAGAACAAUGUUCUAUUUAAUCUUUUGUUAAAAUAAGUGGCGCCUUUCUCAAUUGAUUGUUCUAAAUUUUUAAGUUUCUUCAAUUUAUUAUUAUUGUCCCUUACUAAGUUAGUCGGUUGAAUUGGAGGUAAAAAUGAUGGAUUUUGAAAUACACUGAAUUGGUCCUUAUUGACCAGUAAUUUAUGCCACUCUACGGAACCAGUUUUGAUGGAAUUGGAAGCUUCUGUUAUUGAAAACGUAUCCAAUGGAGUAUCCAAUUCUUUUGUGAUUCAUCCACUUGUAGUUAAUGGCCUCAAGAGAAACACUAGUCUAUUGACCAAAUUUUCCGCAAGUGCUCUUAGCAAUUUUUCUAACGGUAUAUACUUCUGAAAUAUUUGAUGUCGAUCAACUUUUGGGUAUACUUAGACAUGUCGACUAGCAUGCAACCAUGAUUUAAUCCAACUUUGUCAAUGAUUCUUUUUUAACUUCCAUUCUUGCUCGUUACACAAUAAAUUUUGUACUUGCAAUCUCUCUAUUCUUUCUUUCGACUGCCAUAUUCUCUUUAUUAUUAAGUUCUCAUUCUUAAUAACUAUACUCUUUCAUUAUAUUCUACUAAAUUUGCUUCUUAUCUCCCAUCUAAUUAAAUUGGCAGUUAAUUUCUAACACUCAAUGCUAUUGUCUAUCCUCGGCAGUGGUGCCAAAAUGUGAUUGUCGUUUUACUUAUUCUAUAAUUCCUUUCAGAAUAAACCUAUAUAGGAAAAUUCAAACACAGGAAAAGACUAAGUGCAUGAGUUUUAUUUAUUAGGAUCACACAAUUAACCGUAUUUCGAACCAUUAAAAUACUAAAAAAUAUUACAAUGCUUUCUCCCAGUAACAAUACUCCUUCAUCAACUGAUAACAAUAGUGUGCAAUUCUACACUCUCAAAAGACCGCUCAAAAUACAUAAUUUCCAUCCAACACCAAAAAUAACAGACUUCACUCCAACCAAUCUGGAUUCACAUAAUUUCUGUAAUCACUAACUUCCUUUGUCGAAACACACACAACUCUCAAUAAACAACAGUCAUAAUCUUUCAAUAACUCAUAUAAUUCAAUCAGUCAAUACUCUAAUUACAUAAUCAAUAACUCAUAAAUCAAUCUUUGAUUUAUUCCACAGACUCACUUCUCAGUAUUCAGAAACUAUCCAUUACUCUUCAACAACAAAGAAAACAAAGAAAUAAAGAAGUAGCACCAAGCUUAUCCUGGCUCAUGACUAUCACAAUCUAACACUCCAACAAACUUCUACAACUUCUAUAUAAUUACUCUUGAUUUCGAGAUUCUAACCGUAAUCCUAUAAUUAACCACUUUUAAUAAUUAAAUCAAUCAUCCGUCCUUCUAAACUCACUAUUCUAUGGACUAUUAG
rnacentral:lncRNA from 1 species